rnacentral:rRNA from 1 species
AACGAACGCUGGCGGCAGGCCUAACACAUGCAAGUCGAGCGAGAUCUUCGGAUCUAGCGGCGGACGGGUGAGUAACGCGUGGGAACGUGCCCUUUGGUUCGGAAUAGCCCCGGGAAACUGGGAGUAAUACCGGAUGAGCUCUUCGGAGGAAAGAUUUAUCGCCAAAGGAUCGGCCCGCGUUGGAUUAGGUAGUUGGUGGGGUAAUGGCCUACCAAGCCGACGAUCCAUAGCUGGUUUGAGAGGAUGAUCAGCCACACUGGGACUGAGACACGGCCCAGACUCCUACGGGAGGCAGCAGUGGGGAAUCUUAGACAAUGGGCGCAAGCCUGAUCUAGCCAUGCCGCGUGAUCGAUGAAGGCCUUAGAGUUGUAAAGAUCUUUCAGGUGGGAAGAUAAUGACUGUACCACCAGAAGAAGCCCCGGCUAACUCCGUGCCAGCCGCCGCAGUAAGAC